rnacentral:rRNA from 1 species
GAUGAACGCUGGCGGCGUGCCUAAUACAUGCAAGUCGAGCGAACAGAUGAGGAGCUUGCUCCUCUGACGUUAGCGGCGGACGGGUGAGUAACACGUGGAUAACCUACCUAUAAGACUGGGAUAUCUACGGGAAACCGGAGCUAAUACCGGAUAAUAUAUUGAACCGCAUGGUUCAAUAGUGAAAGACGGUUUUGCUGUCACUUAUAGAUGGAUCCGCGCCGCAUUAGCUAGUUGGUAAGGUAACGGCUUACCAAGGCAACGAUGCGUAGCCGACCUGAGAGGGUGAUCGGCCACACUGGAACUGAGACACGGUCCAGACUCCUACGGGAGGCAGCAGUAGGGAAUCUUCCGCAAUGGGCGAAAGCCUGACGGAGCAACGCCGCGUGAGUGAUGAAGGUCUUCGGAUCGUAAAACUCUGUUAUUAGGGAAGAACAAAUGUGUAAGUAACUAUGCACGUCUUGACGGUACCUAAUCAGAAAGCCACGGCUAACUACGUG